rnacentral:rRNA from 1 species
GACGUAGGGCGCGAGCGUUGUCCGGAUUUAUUGGGCGUAAAGAGCUCGUAGGCGGUUCGGUAAGUCAGCUGUGAAAUCUCCACGCUCAACGUGGAGGGGUCAGCUGAUACUGCCGUGACUUGAGUCUGGUAGGGGAGUGCGGAAUUCCCGGUGUAGCGGUGAAAUGCGCAGAUAUCGGGAGGAACACCAGUGGCGAAGGCGGCACUCUGGGCCAGUACUGACGCUGAGGAGCGAAAGCGUGGGGAGCGAACAGG